UACGGGGGGGGGAAGCGUUGUUCGGAAUUACUGGGCGUAAAGGGCUCGUAGGCGGCCAACUAAGUCAGGCGUGAAAUCCCUCAGCUUAACCGGGGAACUGCGUCUGAGACUGGGGGGCUUGAAUCCGGGAGAGGGAUGUGGAAUUCCAGGUGUAGCGGUGAAAUGCGUAGAUAUCUGGAGGAACACCGGUGGCGAAGGCGGCAUCCUGGACCGGUAUUGACGCUGAGGCGCGAAAGCCAGGGGAGCAAACGGG
rnacentral:rRNA from 1 species